UGCACAGAGGAUGAUCAUCAAAAGGGACUUAAUACUGAAGAGUAUGAUGUUUUUUUGUUCUGAUGUGC